GCCCGGGUGGAGAAAUCGGAAAACUCGAUGGCCUCAAAAGCCAUUGCCCGCAAGGGCUUGUGGGUUCGAACCCCACCCCGGGCA
rnacentral:tRNA from 1 species